AAAAUACAAAGGAUCAGCAUGUGAGGUUGAAGUAGAACAGAUAACACAUUAGAAAACUCACCAUCAGUGUGAUAGGACCCCGGGCAGAGAGUGCCGCGCGCCCGGCAGCGCGCAGUGACCUGCCUCGCAGGCUCACGUUCUCCCGCCGAGAAGCCCCCCGGGCUGAGCGGGUGGGCGCGGGAUGGGCUGCCCGUCACUCCCACAGGAACGCAGGUAGUGCGCAGGCAUGGUUUCCUCUGGGGGACUCCCGCUGUGGCACCAACAAAACGGGGCUCAUUCU
rnacentral:lncRNA from 1 species